UUCGCAAUGCCCGAAAGGGUGACGAAGCGACGCCGCGUGUGGGAAGAAGGCCUUCGGGUUGUAAACCACUGUCGGGAGUUAAGAAAUGCAAGGAUAUGAAUAGUGUCUUUGUUUGACUAAGGCUCCGGAGGAAGCCACGGCUAACUCUGUGCCAGCAGCCGCGGUAAUACAGAGGCGGCAAGCGUUGUUCGGAAUUAUUGGGCGUAAAGAGCACGUAGGCGGCUAUGUAAGUCGGUUGUGAAAGCCUUCCGCUCAACGGGAGAACAGCAUCCGAUACUACAUGGCUUGAGUGCGGGAGGGGAGAGUGGAACUUCUGGUGGAGCGGUGAAAUGCGUAGAUAUCAGAAGGAACGCCGGCGGCGAAAGCGGCUCUCUGGCCCAUAACUGACGCUGAGUGUGCGAAAGCUAGGGGAGCAAACGGGAUUAGAUACCCCGGUAGUCCUAGCCGUAAACGAUGGGCACUAAGUAGAGGGGUUUU
rnacentral:rRNA from 1 species